rnacentral:rRNA from 1 species
AGCGUACACGGUGGAUGCCCUGGCAGUCAGAGGCGAUGAAGGACGUGCUAAUCUGCGAUAAGCGCCGGUAAGGUGAUAUGAACCGUUAUAACCGGCGAUUUCCGAAUGGGGAAACCCAGUGUGAUUCGUCACACUAUCAUUAACUGAAUCCAUAGGUUAAUGAGGCGAACCGGGGGAACUGAAACAUCUAAGUACCCCGAGGAAAAGAAAUCAACCGAGAUUCCCCCAGUAGCGGCGAGCGAACGGGGAGGAGCCCAGAGCCUGAAUCAGCAUGUGUGUUAGUGGAAGCGUCUGGAAAGGCGCGCGAUACAGGGUGACAGCCCCGUACACAAAAGCGCAUGUGCUGUGAGCUCGAUGAGUAGGGCGGGACACGUGGUAUCCUGUCUGAAUAUGGGGGGACCAUCCUCCAAGGCUAAAUACUCCUGACUGACCGAUAGUGAACCAGUACCGUGAGGGAAAGGCGAAAAGAACCCCGGCGAGGGGAGUGAAAAAGAACCUGAAACCGUGUACGUACAAGCAGUGGGAGCACAGGUUUACCUGUGUGACUGCGUACCUUUUGUAUAAUGGGUCAGCGACUUAUAUUCUGUAGCAAGGUUAACCGAAUAGGGGAGCCGGAGGGAAACCGAGUCUUAAUUGGGCGUUAAGUUGCAGGGUAUAGACCCGAAACCCGGUGAUCUAGCCAUGGGCAGGUUGAAGGUUGGGUAACACUAACUGGAGGACCGAACCGACUAAUGUUGAAAAAUUAGCGGAUGACCUGUGGCUGGGGGUGAAAGGCCAAUCAAACCGGGAGAUAGCUGGUUCUCCCCGAAAGCUAUUUAGGUAGCGCCUCGUGAAUUCAUCUCCGGGGGUAGAGCACUGUUUCGGCUAGGGGGCCAUCCCGGCUUACCAACCCGAUGCAAACUGCGAAUACCGGAGAAUGUUAUCACGGGAGACACACGGCGGGUGCUAACGUCCGUCGUGAAGAGGGAAACAACCCAGACCGCCAGCUAAGGUCCCAAAGUCAUGGUUAAGUGGGAAACGAUGUGGGAAGGCCCAGACAGCCAGGAUGUUGGCUUAGAAGCAGCCAUCAUUUAAAGAAAGCGUAAUAGCUCACUGGUCGAGUCGGCCUGCGCGGAAGAUGUAACGGGGCUAAACCAUGCACCGAAGCUGCGGCAGCGAACGUAUCACCCAAGACAACUUUACGGAGUUGACGAUUGACGGAGCGAAGCGACGUCAAAGCGUUCAUUAAAGUCGAGUUGGCUUAGGGAUACGUUCGUUGGGUAGGGGAGCGUUCUGUAAGCCUGUGAAGGUGUGUCGUGAGGCAUGCUGGAGGUAUCAGAAGUGCGAAUGCUGACAUAAGUAACGAUAAAGCGGGUGAAAAGCCCGCUCGCCGGAAGACCAAGGGUUCCUGUCCAACGUUAAUCGGGGCAGGGUGAGUCGACCCCUAAGGCGAGGCCGAAAGGCGUAGUCGAUGGGAAACGGGUUAAUAUUCCCGUACUUGGUGUUACUGCGAAGGGGGGACGGAGAAGGCUAUGUUGGCCGGGCGACGGUUGUCCCGGUUUAAGCGUGUAGGUGUGUGUUCCAGGUAAAUCCGGUUCACUUUAACACUGAGGCGUGACGACGAGGCACUACGGUGCUGAAGCAACAAAUGCCCUGCUUCCAGGAAAAGCCUCUAAGCAUCAGGUAACACGAAAUCGUACCCCAAACCGACACAGGUGGUCAGGUAGAGAAUACCAAGGCGCUUGAGAGAACUCGGGUGAAGGAACUAGGCAAAAUGGUGCCGUAACUUCGGGAGAAGGCACGCUGACACGUAGGUGAAGUGAUUUACUCAUGGAGCUGAAGUCAGUCGAAGAUACCAGCUGGCUGCAACUGUUUAUUAAAAACACAGCACUGUGCAAACACGAAAGUGGACGUAUACGGUGUGACGCCUGCCCGGUGCCGGAAGGUUAAUUGAUGGGGUCAGCGUAAGCGAAGCUCCUGAUCGAAGCCCCGGUAAACGGCGGCCGUAACUAUAACGGUCCUAAGGUAGCGAAAUUCCUUGUCGGGUAAGUUCCGACCUGCACGAAUGGCGUAAUGAUGGCCAGGCUGUCUCCACCCGAGACUCAGUGAAAUUGAACUCGCUGUGAAGAUGCAGUGUACCCGCGGCAAGACGGAAAGACCCCGUGAACCUUUACUAUAGCUUGACACUGAACAUUGAGCCUUGAUGUGUAGGAUAGGUGGGAGGCUUUGAAGUGUGGACGCCAGUCUGCAUGGAGCCGACCUUGAAAUACCACCCUUUAAUGUUUGAUGUUCUAACGUGGACCCGUAAUCCGGGUUGCGGACAGUGUCUGGUGGGUAGUUUGACUGGGGCGGUCUCCUCCUAAAGAGUAACGGAGGAGCACGAAGGUUGGCUAAUCCUGGUCGGACAUCAGGAGGUUAGUGCAAUGGCAUAAGCCAGCUUGACUGCGAGCGUGACGGCGCGAGCAGGUGCGAAAGCAGGUCAUAGUGAUCCGGUGGUUCUGAAUGGAAGGGCCAUCGCUCAACGGAUAAAAGGUACUCCGGGGAUAACAGGCUGAUACCGCCCAAGAGUUCAUAUCGACGGCGGUGUUUGGCACCUCGAUGUCGGCUCAUCACAUCCUGGGGCUGAAGUAGGUCCCAAGGGUAUGGCUGUUCGCCAUUUAAAGUGGUACGCGAGCUGGGUUUAGAACGUCGUGAGACAGUUCGGUCCCUAUCUGCCGUGGGCGCUGGAGAACUGAGGGGGGCUGCUCCUAGUACGAGAGGACCGGAGUGGACGCAUCACUGGUGUUCGGGUUGUCAUGCCAAUGGCACUGCCCGGUAGCUAAAUGCGGAAGAGAUAAGUGCUGAAAGCAUCUAAGCACGAAACUUGCCCCGAGAUGAGUUCU